rnacentral:rRNA from 1 species
GAUGAACGCUGGCGGCGUGCCUAAUACAUGCAAGUCGAGCGAACAGACGAGGAGCUUGCUCCUCUGACGUUAGCGGCGGACGGGUGAGUAACACGUGGAUAACCUACCUAUAAGACUGGGAUAACUUCGGGAAACCGGAGCUAAUACCGGAUAAUAUAUUGAACCGCAUGGUUCAAUAGUGAAAGACGGUUUUGCUGUCACUUAUAGAUGGAUCCGCGCCGCAUUAGCUAGUUGGUAAGGUAACGGCUUACCAAGGCAACGAUGCGUAGCCGACCUGAGAGGGUGAUCGGCCACACUGGAACUGAGACACGGUCCAGACGCCUACGGGAGGCAGCAGUAGGGAAUCUUCCGCAAUGGUCGAAAGCCUGACGGAGCAACGCCGCGUGAGUGAUGAAGGUCUUCGGAUCGUAAAACUCGGUUAUUAGGGAAGAACAAAUGUGUAAGUAACUAUGCACGUCUUGACGGUACCUAAUCAGAAAGCCACGGCUAACUACGUG